rnacentral:rRNA from 1 species
GCCUACGGGGCGCAGCAGUGAGGAAUAUUGGUCAAUGGCCGAGAGGCUGAACCAGCCAAGCCGCGUGAGGGAGGAAGGUACAGAGUAUCGUAAACCUCUUUCGUCAGGGAACAAAGGCGGGGACGUGUCCCCGGAUGAGUGUACCUGAAGAAAAAGCAUCGGCUAACUCCGUGCCAGCAGCCGCGGUAAUACGGAGGAUGCGAGCGUUAUCCGGAUUUAUUGGGUUUAAAGGGUGCGCAGGCGGUCUGUUAAGUCAGCGGUCAAAGCCCGGGGCUCAACCCCGGCCCGCCGUUGAAACUGGCAGU